rnacentral:rRNA from 1 species
CGAGAAAGUGGGGGCAACCCCGCGAGUACAGUGGCAGACGGGUGAGUAACACGUGAACAACUUACCCUCGAGCGUGGAAUAACCCCGCGAAAGCGGGGCUAAUACCGCAUAACAUCCCCGGGUCGCAUGGCCUGGGGAUCAAAGGCGCAAGUCGCUUGAGGAGAGGUUCGCGCCUGAUUAGCUAGUUGGUGAGGUAACGGCCCACCAAGGCGACGAUCAGUAGCCGGCCUGAGAGGGCGAACGGCCACACUGGAACUGAGACACGGUCCAGACUCCUACGGGAGGCAGCAGUGGGGAAUUUUGCGCAAUGGGCGGAAGCCUGACGCAGCAACGCCGCGUGGAGGAUGAAGGUCUUCGGAUCGUAAACUCCUGUCAGGGGGGACGAAAGCCUUAACGGGUUUGACUGUACCCCCUGAGGAAGCCACGGCUAACUCCGUGCCAGCAGCCGCGGUAAUACGGAGGUAGCAAGCGUUGUUCGGAAUUACUGGGCGUAAAGGGCGCGUAGGCGGCAUGGCAAGUCAGAUGUGAAAGCCCCGGGCUCAACUCGGGAAUUGCAUCUGAAACUGCUUUGCUUGAGUCCUGGAGGGGGUAGUGGAAUUCCCAGUGUAGCGGUGAAAUGC